UUGGUCUCCGGUUCCCGUGGACGAGCCCGUCCGCGACCCGGAGGUC
rfam:Actinotalea ferrariae CF5-4 contig91, whole genome shotgun sequence.